AAAAUUAAAUGAAUUUUAUUCAAGUACUGAAUUUUCAGCAAGCCAAAGAACUUCUUUUCAGUGGUUUUAUUUGGUAUUUUCACCAGAGCUUUCUCACAUAAUCGUCUCCUUUCUUUUGUUCCCUGUUGUCAAAUGCAUGGCCUCUGAUGCUGAACAUGCCCAGGGGAGAGACAUGGAUGAUCACAAUGGCCCAGCAUGGGUCUUGGCACUCAAUGUGUGAGGACCCUGACUUGGGGGCUGAACUGGAGCAACUAUUUGCUCUGGGAGAAGAGUUAAAAGGAGUUCACAAUGUUCAGGCCCAGCUGUCUUUUGGGAGAGAUGUCUGCACUGAUUAUGGAUCCAAACAUCAGAGAGGAAGUGACAACUUUUCAGAAUCCUUGAUUCGAAGUCAAGAAAGCCUAGAAGAACAUGCAAGACAACAUUCAAGCAGAACCCAGGGAUACUAUGCAGAAAGUCUUUCAAUUUGAAUACUUUACUUAUUUCUUUACUCACGUGUGU
rnacentral:lncRNA from 1 species